ensembl:miRNA Gm23060 predicted gene, 23060
UUUGUUUUUUUGAAUGCCUAGAUUCGGAUGCUGGCAGGUCCUUUCCAAAUAUGCAUCUCGGGCUGGAGAGAUGGCUCAGCCGUUAAAGGCUAGGCUCACAACCAAAUAU